rfam:TPA: Bos taurus chromosome 8, whole genome shotgun sequence.
UCCCUGGUGGCUCAGAGGUUAAAGCGUCUGCCUCCAAUGCGGAAGACCUGGGUUCGAUCCCUGGGUUGGGAA